CGGGGCCCGGGCUCACUCUUUCGGCAGGCGGGCGGCGCUGCGCUCCAGGACAGGUCCCACUGGCAGAGCUAUUGCACCCACACCUUUGCCUGGGACCUGGCCUUGGGAUGACCUCUGCCCUACAGGCUCACCCCAGGACUUUUUUCAGGCCACUACCAGGUCCCCCUCACUCUCCAGGGCACAAACUGGCUCCAUACUGGAGUCCUUACGUGGACACACUGUCUCAUGAAGAGCCUAGCUGAUCAGUUGAUGCCGCCAAGAGGCAAUGUGGAACAGUGCAAAGAGCACUGGAUUUGGAGAUGGGCAGACCUAAGUUCCAGUUCUACUUUCACAACUUAUUAGCUGUAUGGCCUUGAGCAGGUGACUUCACCUUUCAUCUGUAAAUGGCAAUAACAAUUCCUGUCAUUGAGGAUUGGCCUUAAAGAAAAGAAACCUGGAAUCAAGCCCCUGGAACAUAGAAAGUACUCAGAAAAUGUUAAUCGCCCGCCCCUCAGCUUCAAUUAAUAAAU